rnacentral:rRNA from 1 species
UACGGGGGGGGCAAGCGUUAUUCGGAAUUAUUGGGCGUAAAGGGCGCGUAGGCGGCUUGGCAAGUGGAAGGUGAAAUCCCUCGGCUUAACCGAGGAACUGCCCUCCAAACUGCUUCGCUUGAGACCAGGAGAGGUGAGUGGAAUUCCCAGUGUAGUGGUGAAAUGCGUAGAUAUUGGGAGGAACACCAGUGGCGAAGGCGGCUCACUGGACCGGAACUGACGCUGAGGCGCGAAAGCGUGGGGAGCAAACGGG